GGAAAUGACUAUAGCUCAGUGGUAGAGCACAUCCUUUGUGUGCAGAUGAUCCUAGCUUCAAUCCUUAGCAUUUCCA